rnacentral:lncRNA from 1 species
UCUAAUGUUCAUCACCACAAAUAAAUAUUUAAAUCAAUCUAUAGAAUUUUCUCUCUUCUCUUCUCAAUCAUAAAAUUAAUUUUCUCCUCUCUCUUCUUUUUAGGGUAAUUCCAACCUUCCCCUUUUUUUUCUAUAUUUUCUGUCCUCUUUUACCUAAGGAUCCGAAUCUUAAAACCAAACUAAUCUAUAUCUUUUCUCAUCUUUCAACAAAAACAUUUGUCGUCUACCUCCUUUUUAUGGUUUGAUACCUUUGCUUUUGAUAUGGCAGGUUUGGUAUACUAUUUUGGGGCUCUCUACUAUUCUUGCCUUCUUGUCUCCUUCUUUGCCUAUUUCAUAAAAUUUUUAAUAUUUUCUUUGACAAAACUUGUGUAUAUCAUAUUUUUUUAUUAGUUAUCUACAUCUAUUAUUUUUAUUUAUUUACCCAUUACCCAUAUCAUAUUUAUUUACAAAUUAUUUUUCUUAAAUAAUCAAAAAAAGUCAUGACCCUUGAGUUUUUCCAACAGAUGGUUUAUUUGUUGUAGCAGAUUGGUCAUCUGAUGGAAAAUCUCAAGACCUAGAUUUAGUUCUUCCAACAGUGGCUCAUCUAUUGCAACAAAUUGGUCAUCUAUUAGGAGAACUUAAAAGGCUUUAUUGGCACUAUUACUAUUUUUUGCUUGUUGUUGGUCUUGUUAUUUGUUUUUAUUUUAUUGAUAUUGUUAUUGAUGUUAUUGGUGUUGUGUUAGUGGUGUUGAUGUUACAACAGGUAGAACAUAUGGUGAAAGAUAUUAAAAUAGGUCUUCCAACAGAUGGCCCAUCUAUUGCAACUAAUGAAUCAACUGUUGUAAUAAAUCAAAAUAGCUCUUCCAACAAAUGACUCAUUUAUUGUAAUAAAUGGAUCACCUAUUGAAAAAAAAUCAAAUCAGUAGCAAGAAUGUGUUGAUUUAUUCCAUCAGAUGACCCAUCUAUUACAACAGAUCAGUUAUCUCUUGGAACAGAUAGCCCAUCUAUUGUAAUAUAUUGAUUAUCAAUUGUAAUAGAUAGGUCAACUGUUGUGAUAGGUUGGUUAUUUUUUACAACAGAUGACCUAUCUAUUGCAACAGAUGGGCCAUCUAUUGGAAUUCUUAUUGUAAUGUAUUGUAUUUAUUGAAUUUUGUGUUAUCCUUUUUCAAAUUAUGCAAACAUCAAUUGUAAUUUUUUUUUCUCUUAUUUGUAGAUAAAAGAUGUCUCCCAAAAGAAAAAAAGUGAAAGUGGAUCAACUUUUGAUCGACCAACAAAAAAGGCUAGAGUACAAAUGGUUUUAGAGGAAUAAGGUGUUUACUGAUAGAACCAUUUCAUAUGUGGAAGGUAUGUAUUACUGAUUAGUUUAUCAAGAUAACACACAUAAAGUACAUGGUUUUGUGAAUAUUGUUUUUUAUCGAUUAGGAAUUUAUCCUUCAAAUAAGUUCUUGCAUUUUACCAUUAUGUUUGAUAGGUCUGGACUAAUAAGGCUGAAGGACCAAGAAAGAUGGUGGUAUUGAUACCCUAUUACAGUUUAAUAAUGGCUUUGUCAAUAUUUAUGUGUCAAAUUUGGAGAAGGGAAUAAGUUUGGGUAGUGUAGAGAUUUAAUAGUGAUUAGACUAAUUUUAAGGGUUCAAUAGACUUUUGAAAGGCCGCUGAAGCCUCUCACUACAGGAAAUAAGAAUUAAAAUCCCUCAAAAAUUGCCCUGGUUCAAAUUUAUAUGGAUGGUUGCCCGAGGUAAUGAUUAUACAAUAGAAAAUUCUUGGGAGAAUAUCUGUGAGAAGAGGGGGAGUUAUUGAACACUAUCUUAACUCAGACCUUAGUAAAGAAAAGAAACACAGGAUAGCAAGGAACUUGUAGUGAAUCUGGCUAAUGAAAUUGACAUGACAAAGAAAAAAACUGAAUAAGCUGCAAAAAUAAAAGUGUAUUCAAAAAUGAAUAUUCAUCACUCGUUGUUGAAAAGAAAAAUGAUAAAGUGGACUGGAGUUAUGCACUUUUCCAGGAACUACAACUAGUUAGCACGGUCUAAAUGAUCACCUCCAAGAAUAGAUUCCCAAGUCCAAGGAAAUUGCUUUGUGAGCACCUAUGGAUGGUAAGAUAAAUAAUCAAGAAUGAAACUUACGAUAGAACUACAGAAGAUAAAAUAAGGGAUCAAGAAAAUAUGGCAAUUCCUGAAGUUAAACUUGUAUCCUAUGUCUUCUUGUUUUUUGCUUUGCUCAAGUCAAUAGCAGUGGAAACAAAAAGGUUUACAAUUGAGUAGAAAUCCCAUACCUUUUUGUUUCCAAUACUAUUGAAUUGAUCAGACCAAAAAACAAGAAGGCAUAAGUGUAAAUUUAACUUCAAAAAUUGUCACCUUGACUUGAACCCUUAUUUUAACUUCAGCAGUUCCAUCGUAGGGUUCAUUCUUGAUUGUACAUCUUUCCCUCCCUCGGUGCACGCAAAGUGAAUUCCUUGAACUUGUGUUUCUUUCUUUGGAGGUGAUCACUCAGACCAUACUAACUAGUCACAGUUACCUAGCAAAGUGUAUAUCUCUAAUCCACUUUACCAUUUUUCCUUUCAACAACGACUAAUAGUUUUUCAUUUUUGAAUACACUUUCAUAUUUGUAGCUCAUUUAGAUUUUCAUUUUUCAAGUCAAUUGCAUUGGCCAGAUUUGCUAUAAUUUCCUUUCUACCCUGUGUUUCUUUUCUAAUAAGGUCUGAGAUGAUAUAGUCUUCAGCACCUUCCCCUUCUCCCGCAGAUAUUUUCUUACAUCAUGUUAUGAUGUAUAAUCAUCACCCCGAGCAACCCAUUCAUAUAAAUUUGGACCAGGGGAAUUUCUAUUAGAUUUUCAUUCUUGUUUAUUGCAGUGAGUGGCUUUAAAGGCCUUAGCAAACUCCAUUACAUAAUUAAAACUAGUCCAAGCACUAUUGAAUCACUAUACUGCCAUUAAAUCUAGAUCUCUUCUUAAAAUAUGGUAUAUAAACAUAAGCAAGACCAUCAUUAAAUUGUAACAGGGUAUCUAGAGCACCUUUUUGGUCCCUCAGCCUUAUCAGCUUGAACCUAUCAAACUUAAUUGUAAAAUGCAAGAUCUUAUUUAAAGAAUCAAUACCUAAUCGGUAAAAAACAGCAUUCACAAAAUCAUUGUACUUUAUGUGUGUUGUCACGAUAACCUGAUCAGUAAUACAUACCUCCUACAUAUGAAAGCAGUUCAAUCUAUAUGUAUGCACCUUAUUCUUCCUACCCCAUCAAUGACAGAAACAAAAUAGUGUUUUAUCUUCUAUUACCAUCAUGAAGUAGUGUACAAAACUAGGAGUCUCAAAGGGUAAUCAUCUUCAAAACCAUUCUUCUUUUUCUUUUGGUAAGGGUAACAAAAAUCUUAAAAAUUAAAAACUAAUAGAGAGAGAAACCCUUGCUGCUACUAGAUUGAGUUCUACCAACAGAUGAUCCAUCUGUUGCAACAAAUAGGAAAUCUGUUGGAAGAACUUAAUCCAAUAGCAAAGGUUUUUAGCACUCCCAACAGAUGACCAAUUUGUUGCAAUAAAUAGACUAUCUAUUACAAUAGAUGAUCCAUCUGUUGGAAUAUAUGGGUCAUUUGUUAGAAGAACUGAAUUUAGGUUUUGUGUUCUUUUAACAAAUGACCAAUCUGUUGCAAUAAAUGGACAAUCUGUUUGAAGAACUAAAUAAAAAUAGUUAUUAACGAAAAAAAUAAUUAUUGAAAAGGUGAAAAGUCAUGUCUUCGACUAUUUAAUAAAGAAAAAUUGUUCGUAAAUAAAUAAUAAGGUAAAAAUGAUAAACAUAAUUUUAAAUCAUAAAAAAAUAGUUAUUUAAUUUUAAUAACUAAUGUUGAUAUUAAGAAGGAAAAAAUCAUGACUUUUCACCUUUUUUUAUUUUAAUAUAUUUUUUUAAUUUAAAUAAACGAAAAGUCACCAAAAUGGAUAUAAUUACUAAAAAGGAGGUGAACAGUUGUGACUUUUUGCCUAACACAUUCAAAUUCAAUCCUUUAUAAAUAGGUUCUUACUCUUUCAGUCUCCUCCACUUUAUUUAUUUAUUUCAUCUUUUUUUUAUAAAAACGCACACUAUUACAUCUUUAACCACUUCUCUUACAAAAGCAAAUUCAUUUUCAUCCGCUGAGGUAUGUUUUAUUUUCUUCUUCUAAAAUGAAAAUUGUUAACAUAUAAAGUAUGUUGCUUUUUUUGUUAAACUACCAGUUGGUAGUAUACGUUGUAUUACAUUCGGACUCUUUUCUUUUCUUUUCUUUAGUAUAUUAUAUUUUUUCUCAAUGCAUGCACGUUCUAGAUAUGGCUGAUCUGAUCUGGGACAUGGCGAUUCUGCUCGACACCAUGCGGGAAUUUGAAAGGCUAGUUUAUAAAUGACGAAGAAAGUUAGUUGGGCGCCAGAAGAGCAGGGGUUCUUCGUGAGAUUCAAAGGUUGAUGGCUCUACUGCUGCCUAAUGGGUUUUCGGUUGACAAUAAUAAUAAUAAUAAUAAUAAUAAUAAUUAUUAUUAUUAUUAUAAUUAGGUUAUAUUUUUCUUUUAUCAUAUGUAUUUUUUUUAUUUAUAUCGGAUCUACCUAAUGUAUGUUUUGUUUUAUUUGGUUUUGCAUAUGUAUUUUGUAUGUAAUGAAUGAAAAAAUCUAUGUUUGGU